rnacentral:lncRNA from 1 species
UCCGAGGUGGCGGCCAUCGCCUCGGACAGUCUCUGAGUCUCCUCCUGGAGGCUUCUGAUGGCUGCGUCUUUUUCCUCCGUGGCUCGCCUUAAGGCUUCCACCUCUGCUGGCGGCCCUUUCGAAGACUCGCCCGGCGCCUCGGACUUAAUUGCCUCCUGAGAGCCGGCCGCCUCGCAAGUCCGCGACGAUGCGGCGGGCGGCUGUGGUGACGUGAGGGCGGGUGGACCCAAGAGAACCUCCUUGGCAUUGCAGAGCUGCUCUAGGCCGAGCUGCAUCUGUGCCAGUCUCUUCCCCAAGAGCCGGAGUUGGGUCGCAUCCCCUCGAGGACGCGGGAACGGGGCGGCAGAGUGCAUCUGUCGCCGACACUUCUCCUCGCUGUCCACUGAGGCCCGUGCCUCGAGUGGUGGGAGUUCUUUCUGAAGUUGGGAUGACUCCCGCUGCAGAUGGUGCACCUCGGUGAGCACCAGCCGCUGCCACUCCUCCAGCACGUCGACCCGCUGCUUCAACGUGCCCCGUUCCCGGAGAAGCUCCUCCAACUGAUUCGCGUCCACGCCCCGAACCUCAUGGCCAGCGUCGGACGUUUGCCAGAUGGUCAGUAAAGUCUGACAUUUCUGGCUCAAGGCACCGAUUUCAAUGUCUUUGGCUCGGACGAGGCGUGAUAAGGGCCGGAUCGCUUCUCGAAACAUGUCCUCACCGCCGCUGUCAGAUCGAGGGCGCCGUGUCUGACUUUCGCCUCGCAGCUUCGCGAGCUCUGCUUCUUUGGCCACCAGCAGAGGCUUGCAGUUGCUGCUGGAGGCCCCCCGCAUCCUGGACGGAGGCAGCCGAAGCUAGGCGAGCGGGAAGGCCCUGGCUCUGCCAGUCUUGCGGCUGGAUCGUCUGAGUUCGUGGCCCGGUCUCAUCGUCGUCCGGCUCAUCAAGCCGCUCGGUCAGAGGGAUCGUCUUUUCGGCCCCAAGUUUCAGCGCCUUCCUCUGCUUUUGCUCUUCAGAGGUCCUUGGAGGAUGCUGGGUUUCCUCCUCCGGGGAGGCGAGCCUCGUGUCUCCUUCCUCGAGGUUUCCCGCAGAGUUGCGGUGUCUCUCCGAGCUGGAGUUGCCGGUCUCUCCUUCUCGGGUGGUCCGGUCGCCCGAAUGGCUUCCGUCUCCGUUCUCCCCGAGUCGGGCGGCCCUCCUGCCCCCUGGGGCCGCCCGCCAGGAACGCCGCGCUGAAGGCCGCCAUCCCCACACCACCGCCACCUGUGCGCGUGGCAGCGCGUGUGGGCAGAAAGGACCCCAGGGUCUGACUGCCGCCAAGCGCCUCCCACGCUCCCUCCUGUCCUGCGGCCGGGAUCUUCCCAGCCGGCUUGGAGAACACUCGGAGGGCCAAGGGAAGCGAUGGGACCACACACAAACUCAGGUCCGGGUACCCGAUUUCGCAGCCAAGCCAAUCAGUGAGAAGUCAGGGUUGCAGCAAGGAAAGAGGUUUAUGAUCAAGAGGCGGCCAGACAAGGAGGACGGGACGGCGACGAGAUUUGGGGAGUCUUUCGAGGAGCCGGUGAGAGACGAGGCGAUGACUGGAUGGCUGACGAGGAGUCGAGGUCUUUUGGCAGCAGCUUAGCCGUGAAAGGUAGAGAGAGAAGGCGGAUGGUGGAGGAGCGGAAAGGAGAGGUGUGGA